ensembl:snRNA U1 U1 spliceosomal RNA
AUAAUACUGACAGGAGAAAUACCAUGAUCACGAAGGUGGCUUUCCCAGGGCUAGGCUUAUCCAUUCUAUUCCAGAUGUGCUGCCCUUGCGAUUUCCCCAGAUGUGGGAAACUCAACUGCAUAAUUUGUGGUAGUGGGGGACUGUGUUCAUACUUUCCUACU